rnacentral:lncRNA from 10 species
UCUAGGUUCAAGUGGUCUGCCUGCCCCAGCCUCCCAAAAUGCUGAGAUUAUAGGUGUGAGCCACCAUGCCCAGCUGUUUUGUUUUGAGACAAGGUCUCACUCUUUUGCCCAGACUGGAGUGCAGUGGUGUGAUCACAGCUCACUGCAGCCUUCAAUUCCUGGGUUCAAACAAUCUUCCUGCUUAGACUUCCAAAAAGCUGGGAUUAUAGGCAUGAGCCACUGUGCACAAGAAUUUUAUAAAUAUUAACUCACUUAAUACUGCCCACAACCCCAUCAGAGAAGCACUGUUAUUAUCCUCAUUUUACAGUCAAGGCUGCUAAGCUUAAGGAUGAAGUAAGAGGCUGGAGCAUGUUGGGUGGCAGUGAGGGAACUUUCCUACUGCAUCCAGAAAGGCCUCUCUGAGGAGGUGACUUAGGAGGAAGUGAGGUUAACAGCAGGAAGAAAAGGCCUGGGAGUUGAAGGUUCAUCCCUGGUGUGUUAGAGGAACAGCAAGAAGACGGGUGUGGCUGGAGAGGGUGGGUGAAGGCAGGGGUGCUGGGAGACAAGGUUGGGGAUGGGAUGGCAGGGCUAGAGCUGCUAAUGGCUCAUAGGGAGGAGCUUGGAGUGGUUCUAAGUGUCAUGGGAAAUUGGUGGCCACCCAGUCGCUGCGAGAAAGCCGUCAGAAUGGAAUCAGUGGGCCUGGGUCCUGCUGUGUGUCCUUGGGAGGGCCACACACCCUCUCUGAUCCUGUCUACUCACCUGCAUCAAGCCAGUUUGUACAAGCUGAUGUCUGAGGGCUUCUUUUUGCUCUGCAUGCUCUGGUUCUACUGAAGGAAGAGAGGGACCUGUUGGUUGUAUCCAAAUCCCAAUCCCCUGGGCCCAGGUCCUCAGACUGUCCCAUUCCUGCCUCCCCUCUUUACUCCCCUGGGUCUGGCCUCCCAGAAAAG